CCUACGGGUGGCAGCAGUGGGGAAUAUUGCGCAAUGGGCGAAAGCCUGACGCAGCGACGCCGCGUGAGGGAUGACGGUCUUCGGAUCUUAAACCUCUGUCAGCAGGGAAGAAUGGUCACUGUGCUAAUCAGCAGUGAAUUGACGGUACCUUCAAAGGAAGCACCGGCUAACUCCGUGCCAGCAGCCGCGGUAAUACGGAGGGUGCGAUCGUUAAUCGGUAUUACUGGGCGUAAAGCGCUCGUAGGCGGUAUGUCAAGUCAAGGGUGAAAUCCCCGCGCUCAACGUGGGAACUGCCUUUGAUUCUGGCAAACUGGAGUGUGUGAGAGGAGAGUGGAAUUCGAGGUGUAGGAGUGAAAGCCGUAGAUAUCUGGAGGAACAUCAGUGGCGAAGGCGACUAUCUGGCACAUAACUGACGCUGAGGAGCGAAAGCGUGGGUAGCAAACAGGAUUAGAUACCCUUGUAGUC
rnacentral:rRNA from 1 species